CAGAGUUGAAAAAACUCCCUAAAACCCACUGUUUAUCUAUCCUAAAAAACGUCUGCUCCGGCGGGCGGCCCCUGGGGAGGGACCGCUGCCGCUGCUUUCGGGCGCGGCGCCCCGCCGGAGGAGACGACCUUUAAACUCUUGCUGUUUCAGUACUAUUCUGAGCCUAAAGACAAAUUGUCA
rnacentral:misc_RNA from 1 species